CAAAAGGUUAAUUGGAAUUCUGGGCGUAAGCGCACGCAGGUGGCUAGGUCAGUCGGAUGUGAAGCCCUGGGAAAAACCAAGGAAUUGCAUUCGAUACUGCCUGGCUAGACUAUGGGAGAGGGAAGUGGAAUUCCCGGUGUAGCGGAGAAAGGAAGAUAGAGGAGGAGAAUAAUUUUCCCCCCAAGAAAAAGGCGA
rnacentral:rRNA from 1 species